rnacentral:rRNA from 1 species
UACGAAGGGUGCAAGCGUUACUCGGAAUUACUGGGCGUAAAGCGUGCGUAGGUGGUUGUUUAAGUCUGCUGUGAAAGCCCUGGGCUCAACCUGGGAAUUGCAGUGGAUACUGGGCGACUAGAGUGUGGUAGAGGAUAGUGGAAUUUCCGGUGUAGCGGUGAAAUGCGUAGAGAUCGGAAGGAACACCAGUGGCGAAGGCGGCUACCUGGACUGAUACUGACACUGCGGCGCGAGAGCGUGGGGAGCAAACAGG